ensembl:lincRNA
AUGUCCCAUCUGAGGAGUUGGCAGUUAAAGAACAGAAACAGAGCAAUAGACUGCAUGGCUACAUUUCUCCAGGGCCACCAACUGGGAGUUAAGCUGACUAACAUUUUGAAAGCCCAGCCCAUUUCGUUCACAGCAGGCAAGGCAGGUAAAAGCAUUUCCGUACUAAAGUACACACUUUGUUUCUCCAGGUUUUUCUGGUCUAAAUUCUCUUGUUUGCCAGUUGGGGGGAGAGACGAAAAGGAGGUUGGGGACCAAAUGCCUGGGGUAUUUAAUCAAAUGCCCAGCAACUCCUGAUUAUAGGAUAUAGAAAUUUCACUUUUGAGGAUUAACUAUGGUGGAUUUUGUCAACUCAAAUGGGGUCCCCCCUCUACCCAGCAUGUUAUUGGGCUACUUCCUACCACUGCCUAAGUACGAUGCAGUAGGAGAAUUCCAAAUUGCUUUAAUAGCAACUCCAGGGUUAGCAAAAACUAAAUGUGCAGGGUGAAAAGUCCUAUAAAACAUAGGUCUAUGUGAAGUUCCUCUAAGAGUACAUGUUGCAUGUUAUUGUUUGCUUCUGGAAGAACAAGAAAGUGAGAAUUGAUUUUACUUUGUUAUGUUAAUUUGAUUACUAUUUCCUAAGUGGUAAGUAUACACCUCCUUAAAUAUUUUAUGAAGCUCAUUUAAUCAAGCAAAUAUCCUAAAGCACAUCGCUGUAUUGAUUCUUGACUUUUCAACCUGUCGCUCUGCCACCGUGGAUGCCUUUUUCUCAUGUGCUGGCAGAGGAAGGCUCAGGGAACUGAGAGAGUGAGUAGAGGCACCUGCCUUCUGUUAGAGCAGCAGCAGUUGUCUCAUUGGAGGGGCUUUCCUCGCAACUGGUGAAAUUGGGAUGAUAAUAUCAGUUUGCAUUCAUACGGAAUAUAUACUUAAGGAAGUGUAAGAGCACUAUUCAAGAGUUGUCUGAGGGGAUGAACGUAAUACACAUGUCAGGCAAGAAGACUAAAGUUCUGAGAUGUAUUAGAUUAUUGUAAGAAUAUCAUAGCUCAUUUUAAGACUAAAUUGGCAUGCUUCCUAGCUGCAGCCCACGGCCCACAUACUGAAGGAAAUCUUACAGAGCCUAUUUCUCUGGAGUUGGAGCCUGUAUGUGCACCGUCUUACAGUGGAGCAGAACCCCUGUUUGUUUUAUGUUCUAGGACUGAUCUCUGGAUAUUUCUUAGCAGACAGGAUCAGAAGUUCAUAGAAGGUGCAGUGGGAAAAUUGAAUAACUUUGAAGUUAUGAAUAAUUUUGAAUAUCUUUGAAGUUUUAGCAAAAAAGAAAAAAAGAAAGAAAAGAAAAAAGAAUGAUGAAAGGUCAUGGAUGCUUGCACCAUGACCGUAUCUGGAAUCUUUUCAAGAGUAUGAGGUCCCUUCUAGUUUAGUAGUUAGAUGUAUUCUUUAGCCAAUUUGUCUUCAAUCUGACAAAGAUUUCCUAUUUAUAAAUGUCUCUUGGGGUCCAUGAGGAAUCUCAGACACUCAUUUAUUUUGUAAAGAAGUGUUCAGGACCAGUAAGUUCAAAAUAUUUUGAAGUUACUGUCUACUUGCCUCCUCUGAAGUGAUAGUGCCAUGUUGGUGGCCAUGUUCUUCCAGACACUCAACGCAGCCAACCUCCACUACCCUUUGGUGCAC